GACGAACGCUGGCGGCGUGCUUAACACAUGCAAGUCGAACGAAGUGGCGAACGGGUGAGUAACGCGUAAUCAACCUGCCCUUCAGAGGGGGACACCAGUUGGAAACGACUGCUAAUACCGCAUACUGAAGUGAGGGAUUGUGUCUGAUUAGCUAGUUGGAGGGGUAACGGCCCAACAAGGCGAUGAUCAGUAGCCGUUCGGGUAGGAUGAACGGCCACAGUGGGACUGGGACACGGCCCAGACUCCUACGGGAGGCAGCAGUGGGGAAUCUUCCGCAAUGGAGGAAAGUCUGACGGAGCAAAGCCGGGGGAGUGAUGACGGCCUGCGGGUUGUAAAGCUCUGUUAAUCGGGACGCGGUACCGGAAUAGAAAGCCACGGCUAACUACGUGCCAGCAGCCGCGGUAAUAC
rnacentral:rRNA from 1 species